GACGAACGCUGGCGGCGUGCCUAAUACAUGCAAGUAGAACGCUGAAGAGAGGAGCUUGCUCUUCUUGGAUGAGUUGCGAACGGGUGAGUAACGCGUAGGUAACCUGCCUUGUAGCGGGGGAUAACUAUUGGAAACGAUAGCUAAUACCGCAUAACAAUGGAUGACACAUGUCAUUUAUUUGAAAGGGGCAAUUGCUCCACUACAAGAUGGACCUGCGUUGUAUUAGCUAGUAGGUGAGGUAACGGCUCACCUAGGCGACGAUACAUAGCCGACCUGAGAGGGUGAUCGGCCACACUGGGACUGAGACACGGCCCAGACUCCUACGGGAGGCAGCAGUAGGGAAUCUUCGGCAAUGGGGGCAACCCUGACCGAGCAACGCCGCGUGAGUGAAGAAGGUUUUCGGAUCGUAAAGCUCUGUUGUAAGUCAAGAACGAGUGUGAGUGUGGAAAGUUCACACUGUGACGGUAGCUUACCAGAAAGGGACGGCUAACUACGUGCCAGCAGCCGCGGUAAUACGUAGGUCCCGAGCGUUGUCCGGAUUUAUUGGGCGUAAAGCGAGCGCAGGCGGUUUGAUAAGUCUGAAGUUAAAGGCUGUGGCUCAACCAUAGUUCGCUUUGGAAACUGUCAAACUUGAGUGCAGAAGGGGAGAGUGGAAUUCCAUGUGUAGCGGUGAAAUGCGUAGAUAUAUGGAGGAACACCGGUGGCGAAAGCGGCUCUCUGGUCUGUAACUGACGCUGAGGCUCGAAAGCGUGGGGAGCGAACGGGAUUAGAUACCCUGGUAGUCCACGCCGUAAACGAUAAGUGCUAGGUGUUGGAUCCUUUCCGGGAUUCAGUGCCGCAGCUAACGCAUUAAGCACUCCGCCUGGGGAGUACGACCGCAAGGUUGAAACUCAAAGGAAUUGACGGGGGCCCGCACAAGCGGUGGAGCAUGUGGUUUAAUUCGAAGCAACGCGAAGAACCUUACCAGGUCUUGACAUCCCGAUGCUAUUUCUAGAGAUAGAAAGUUACUUCGGUACAUCGGUGACAGGUGGUGCAUGGUUGUCGUCAGCUCGUGUCGUGAGAUGUUGGGUUAAGUCCCGCAACGAGCGCAACCCCUAUUGUUAGUUGCCAUCAUUCAGUUGGGCACUCUAGCGAGACUGCCGGUAAUAAACCGGAGGAAGGUGGGGAUGACGUCAAAUCAUCAUGCCCCUUAUGACCUGGGCUACACACGUGCUACAAUGGUUGGUACAACGAGUUGCGAGUCGGUGACGGCAAGCUAAUCUCUUAAAGCCAAUCUCAGUUCGGAUUGUAGGCUGCAACUCGCCUACAUGAAGUCGGAAUCGCUAGUAAUCGCGGAUCAGCACGCCGCGGUGAAUACGUUCCCGGGCCU
rnacentral:rRNA from 1 species